GUUCUUCCAUUUGCAGUCCGGCGCGCGCCCGCACGAGGUCCGCUCAGUCCGCCGCUCCGCUCACUUCAAAUCACACCGGAGUAAAGCAAAGCGAACAGAACCGAGCCGAAGACAAACGCCUCCGUGUCUGUCGCCGCGGGAAAGUGGACCUUCCGUAGCGGCAUCCUCGCUCCAGAACCCCCUGCAGGGAUCGCGGUGUGCAGCCCCGCUUCGUUUAAAACUUCUCCCUCCGGUUCCCUCCGUCCCUCUCUCCAACUCAAAAUGGAGAACGAGAGUAGUAAGUACCUCCCGCAGCUGCUGGCGGAGAGAGACAGUCUGGACUCGUCCUUCAUCCACGCCAUGAAGCUCAUAUCCGCAGAAAUUGAGAGGGUUCAGAAAGAGGAGGCACCAGAGAAAGACACCGAAACGUACUUGGAUCUCUUCACAGCGAAGAAUAUCAAACUGAAGGAAAGAGUUCUUAUACCAGUCAAGCAGUACCCAAAGUUUAACUUCGUUGGGAAGAUUCUUGGGCCUCAGGGGAACACAAUCAAGAGACUGCAGGAGGAGACGGGAGCGAAGAUCUCUGUGCUGGGGAAGGGCUCCAUGAGAGACAAAGCCAAGGAGGAAGGCCUGAGGAGAAGUGGGGAGCCGAAGUACGCCCAUCUGUCCAUGGAGCUCCACGUGUUCAUUGAGGUGUUCGCACCUGCUCCUGAAGCAUACUUGCGCAUGGCCCAUGCAAUGGAGGAGAUUAAGAAGUUCUUGUUCCCUGACAUGAUGGAUGAAAUUUGCCAGGAGCAGUUCAUGGAAAUGGGUUAUCUGAAUGGCAAUCAGGAUCAUGGCGUUAGGGGCCGAGGAGGUCCACUUGUCAGGGGCCGUGGGGCACCGCCUGCUGCACCUAGGGGUCGUGGCAUGCCGCCAAUGCGUGGUGGAGUACCUCGCGGUGGUCCUGCAAGAGGUGGAGCGGUGAGAGGAGCUCCAGCAGGACGAGGUGGACUACCAGCCCAGCCAGCCAGAGGUGCCGUAGCCGGCCGCGCCCGUGCCCCAGCUCCAGGACCCCAGAGAAUGCCUCCUCCACCCCCACGCCCUCCAGCUCAGGAGAGCUACGAAGAAUAUUCCUAUGACGAAAGCUACACGGAGCCAGCCUACGAGUCCUACGACAGCUAUUACAGUCAACCACAGGCAGAACCAGAGUACUAUGACUAUGGACAUGGAGAGACACAGGAAGGAUAUGACAAUUAUGCUCAGGAUGACUGGAAUGGAACACAGCGUGCUCCUACUGGUGGGAAGGUCUCUGCUCAAAGACAAACUAAGGGGGCAUACAGAGAACACCCCUAUGGACGAUACUGAACUUCACAAGCAGGACGUCAUCCAUAAUGUGUCACCAUGAUGACUGUCUCCCAUGGCAGCUCACGCUUUAAGCAACCCGACAAAAGUAAUGGUUCCUCGAGAUCCUGGCUUGGAGUUGAGCUUUACGUGAGCUUGAACUCUUUUUCUCAGGGAAAGCUGUUGAUUUUUGAAGCAAACUUUUGAACACCACCACCACUUUUUGGAAGAAUGCUUGAAUCUGCACAGAUGGAGUUAAACAGAAGUUCUGUUGGACAGCUUUCAAGAACGCCAAGACGGAGUGCUAGCAAAGUGCAUCGGCACAUCUUAAAAAGGAAAGAAAAAGGAAAUCAAUGUUUUUCUCAGUGCUGCUGCCAAGGCGUGCAGCAGCAGGCACUUAUUGAGCUGGAGCAGAAAAGGGCUUAGUUGUCCUAGAGCCUUCAGCUGUGUGUGGUCACAUAAUGGAAAUGAGCCUGGGUUAUUGUUUAUGUUUCUGGCACUUUUUAUGUUCACCUCAUUAAGGCCUUUCUGAAGCACACUUAAUGUUGUCCUUAAAAUGACCAUCGUGUUUUUGUUGUCAUGUCUGUUUUCUCCUCAGCCAUUUCUUAGCCAUGAACUCAACUAACAAAAAAAUACUCAUUCUCUCCCUGCUCUCCUGGUCUACCUCAGAUAAUGGCACAGUGUUUUAUUCUCUCAGACAAGCAUCCCCUUGUCACACAUGGGCGCAAACUCGCUCAGAGCAGCGUGCAUUCUAAUGUGGAACUAACUGGCCCGUGUGUCUGUGCACAGUCCUUGUCUUCAUGUUUAAUUGCCAUGGUAAUUUCCGUCUUGCUCUUGUGCCAAAGCCAUCCUUUUGAACGAAUGUGUGCCGCAUGAACUGUUUUUCAUUUACAGCAAUGUGCGCACAGUUGAUGCGCUGUGAUUAAUUGUGUGGCACAGACUUUACUGUAAGAUUUUUUUUUUGUGUGUAAUUUAAUAAAAUAUUAUUAUUAAACAUGGUGUCAGCAUUGGGG